GGGUGACAGCCCCGUACACAAAAAUGCACAUAUUGUGAGCUCGAUGAGUAGGGCGGGACACGUGGUAUCCUGUCUGAAUAUGGGGGGACCAUCCUCCAAGGCUAAAUACUCCUGACUGACCGAUAGUGAACCAGUACCGUGAGGGAAAGGCGAAAAGAACCCCGGCGAGGGGAGUGAAAAAGAACCUGAAACCGUGUACGUACAAGCAGUGGGAGCCUCUUUAUGGGGUGACUGCGUACCUUUUGUAUAAUGGGUCAGCGACUUAUAUUCUGUAGCAAGGUUAACCGAAUAGGGGAGCCGAAGGGAAACCGAGUCUUAACUGGGCGUUAAGUUGCAGGGUAUAGACCCGAAACCCGGUGAUCUAGCCAUGGGCAGGUUGAAGGUUGGGUAACACUAACUGGAGGACCGAACCGACUAAUGUUGAAAAAUUAGCGGAUGACUUGUGGCUGGGGGUGAAAGGCCAAUCAAACCGGGAGAUAGCUGGUUCUCCCCGAAAGCUAUUUAGGUAGCGCCUCGUGAAUUCAUCUCCGGGGGUAGAGCACUGUUUCGGCAAGGGGGUCAUCCCGACUUACCAACCCGAUGCAAACUGCGAAUACCGGAGAAUGUUAUCACGGGAGACACACGGCGGGUGCUAACGUCCGUCGUGAAGAGGGAAACAACCCAGACCGCCAGCUAAGGUCCCAAAGUCAUGGUUAAGUGGGAAACGAUGUGGGAAGGCCCAGACAGCCAGGAUGUUGGCUUAGAAGCAGCCAUCAUUUAAAGAAAGCGUAAUAGCUCACUGGUCGAGUCGGCCUGCGCGGAAGAUGUAACGGGGCUAAACCAUGCACCGAAGCUGCGGCAGCGACACUAUGUGUUGUUGGGUAGGGGAGCGUUCUGUAAGCCUGUGAAGGUGGCCUGUGAGGGUUGCUGGAGGUAUCAGAAGUGCGAAUGCUGACAUAAGUAACGAUAAAGCGGGUGAAAAGCCCGCUCGCCGGAAGACCAAGGGUUCCUGUCCAACGUUAAUCGGGGCAGGGUGAGUCGACCCCUAAGGCGAGGCCGAAAGGCGUAGUCGAUGGGAAACAGGUUAAUAUUCCUGUACUUGGUGUUACUGCGAAGGGGGGACGGAGAAGGCUAUGUUGGCCGGGCGACGGUUGUCCCGGUUUAAGCGUGUAGGCUGGUUUUCCAGGCAAAUCCGGAAAACCAAGGCUGAGGCGUGAUGACGAGGCACUACGGUGCUGAAGCGACAAAUGCCCUGCUUCCAGGAAAAGCCUCUAAGCAUCAGGUAACAUCAAAUCGUACCCCAAACCGACACAGGUGGUCAGGUAGAGAAUACCAAGGCGCUUGAGAGAACUCGGGUGAAGGAACUAGGCAAAAUGGUGCCGUAACUUCGGGAGAAGGCACGCUGAUAUGUAGGUGAAGCGACUUGCUCGUGGAGCUGAAAUCAGUCGAAGAUACCAGCUGGCUGCAACUGUUUAUUAAAAACACAGCACUGUGCAAACACGAAAGUGGACGUAUACGGUGUGACGCCUGCCCGGUGCCGGAAGGUUAAUUGAUGGGGUUAGCGGUAACGCGAAGCUCUUGAUCGAAGCCCCGGUAAACGGCGGCCGUAACUAUAACGGUCCUAAGGUAGCGAAAUUCCUUGUCGGGUAAGUUCCGACCUGCACGAAUGGCGUAAUGAUGGCCAGGCUGUCUCCACCCGAGACUCAGUGAAAUUGAACUCGCUGUGAAGAUGCAGUGUACCCGCGGCAAGACGGAAAGACCCCGUGAACCUUUACUAUAGCUUGACACUGAACAUUGAGCCUUGAUGUGUAGGAUAGGUGGGAGGCUUUGAAGUGUGGACGCCAGUCUGCAUGGAGCCGACCUUGAAAUACCACCCUUUAAUGUUUGAUGUUCUAACGUUGGCCCGUAAUCCGGGUUGCGGACAGUGUCUGGUGGGUAGUUUGACUGGGGCGGUCUCCUCCUAAAGAGUAACGGAGGAGCACGAAGGUUGGCUAAUCCUGGUCGGACAUCAGGAGGUUAGUGCAAUGGCAUAAGCCAGCUUGACUGCGAGCGUGACGGCGCGAGCAGGUGCGAAAGCAGGUCAUAGUGAUCCGGUGGUUCUGAAUGGAAGGGCCAUCGCUCAACGGAUAAAAGGUACUCCGGGGAUAACAGGCUGAUACCGCCCAAGAGUUCAUAUCGACGGCGGUGUUUGGCACCUCGAUGUCGGCUCAUCACAUCCUGGGGCUGAAGUAGGUCCCAAGGGUAUGGCUGUUCGCCAUUUAAAGUGGUACGCGAGCUGGGUUUAGAACGUCGUGAGACAGUUCGGUCCCUAUCUGCCGUGGGCGCUGGAGAACUGAGGGGGGCUGCUCCUAGUACGAGAGGACCGGAGUGGACGCAUCACUGGUGUUCGGGUUGUCAUGCCAAUGGCACUGCCCGGUAGCUAAAUGCGGAAGAGAUAAGUGCUGAAAGCAUCUAAGCACGAAACUUGCCCCGAGAUGAGUUCUCCCUGACUCCUUGAGAGUCCUGAAGGAACGUUGAAGACGACGACGUUGAUAGGCCGGGUGUGUAAGCGCAGCGAUGCGUUGAGCUAACCGGUACUAAUGAACCGUGAGGCUUAACCUUACAACGCCGAAG
rnacentral:rRNA from 1 species